GGUUAAGCGACUAAGCGUACACGGUGGAUGCCCUGGCAGUCAGAGGCGAUGAAGGACGUGCUAAUCUGCGAUAAGCGUCGGUAAGGUGAUAUGAACCGUUAUAACCGGCGAUUUCCGAAUGGGGAAACCCAGUGUGAUUCGUCACACUAUCAUUAACUGAAUCCAUAGGUUAAUGAGGCGAACCGGGGGAACUGAAACAUCUAAGUACCCCGAGGAAAAGAAAUCAACCGAGAUUCCCCCAGUAGCGGCGAGCGAACGGGGAGCAGCCCAGAGCCUGAAUCAGUGUGUGUGUUAGUGGAAGCGUCUGGAAAGGCGUGCGAUACAGGGUGACAGCCCCGUACACAAAAAUGCACAUAUUGUGAGCUCGAUGAGUAGGGCGGGACACGUGGUAUCCUGUCUGAAUAUGGGGGGACCAUCCUCCAAGGCUAAAUACUCCUGACUGACCGAUAGUGAACCAGUACCGUGAGGGAAAGGCGAAAAGAACCCCGGCGAGGGGAGUGAAAAAGAACCUGAAACCGUGUACGUACAAGCAGUGGGAGCACGCUUAGGCGUGUGACUGCGUACCUUUUGUAUAAUGGGUCAGCGACUUAUAUUCUGUAGCAAGGUUAACCGAAUAGGGGAGCCGAAGGGAAACCGAGUCUUAACUGGGCGUUAAGUUGCAGGGUAUAGACCCGAAACCCGGUGAUCUAGCCAUGGGCAGGUUGAAGGUUGGGUAACACUAACUGGAGGACCGAACCGACUAAUGUUGAAAAAUUAGCGGAUGACUUGUGGCUGGGGGUGAAAGGCCAAUCAAACCGGGAGAUAGCUGGUUCUCCCCGAAAGCUAUUUAGGUAGCGCCUCGUGAAUUCAUCUCCGGGGGUAGAGCACUGUUUCGGCAAGGGGGUCAUCCCGACUUACCAACCCGAUGCAAACUGCGAAUACCGGAGAAUGUUAUCACGGGAGACACACGGCGGGUGCUAACGUCCGUCGUGAAGAGGGAAACAACCCAGACCGCCAGCUAAGGUCCCAAAGUCAUGGUUAAGUGGGAAACGAUGUGGGAAGGCCCAGACAGCCAGGAUGUUGGCUUAGAAGCAGCCAUCAUUUAAAGAAAGCGUAAUAGCUCACUGGUCGAGUCGGCCUGCGCGGAAGAUGUAACGGGGCUAAACCAUGCACCGAAGCUGCGGCAGCGACGCUUAUGCGUUGUUGGGUAGGGGAGCGUUCUGUAAGCCUGCGAAGGUGUGCUGUGAGGCAUGCUGGAGGUAUCAGAAGUGCGAAUGCUGACAUAAGUAACGAUAAAGCGGGUGAAAAGCCCGCUCGCCGGAAGACCAAGGGUUCCUGUCCAACGUUAAUCGGGGCAGGGUGAGUCGACCCCUAAGGCGAGGCCGAAAGGCGUAGUCGAUGGGAAACAGGUUAAUAUUCCUGUACUUGGUGUUACUGCGAAGGGGGGACGGAGAAGGCUAUGUUGGCCGGGCGACGGUUGUCCCGGUUUAAGCGUGUAGGCUGGUUUUCCAGGCAAAUCCGGAAAACUAAGGCUGAGGCGUGAUGACGAGGCACUACGGUGCUGAAGCAACAAAUGCCCUGCUUCCAGGAAAAGCCUCUAAGCAUCAGGUAACAUCAAAUCGUACCCCAAACCGACACAGGUGGUCAGGUAGAGAAUACCAAGGCGCUUGAGAGAACUCGGGUGAAGGAACUAGGCAAAAUGGUGCCGUAACUUCGGGAGAAGGCACGCUGAUAUGUAGGUGAAGUCCCUCGCGGAUGGAGCUGAAAUCAGUCGAAGAUACCAGCUGGCUGCAACUGUUUAUUAAAAACACAGCACUGUGCAAACACGAAAGUGGACGUAUACGGUGUGACGCCUGCCCGGUGCCGGAAGGUUAAUUGAUGGGGUUAGCGCAAGCGAAGCUCUUGAUCGAAGCCCCGGUAAACGGCGGCCGUAACUAUAACGGUCCUAAGGUAGCGAAAUUCCUUGUCGGGUAAGUUCCGACCUGCACGAAUGGCGUAAUGAUGGCCAGGCUGUCUCCACCCGAGACUCAGUGAAAUUGAACUCGCUGUGAAGAUGCAGUGUACCCGCGGCAAGACGGAAAGACCCCGUGAACCUUUACUAUAGCUUGACACUGAACAUUGAGCCUUGAUGUGUAGGAUAGGUGGGAGGCUUUGAAGUGUGGACGCCAGUCUGCAUGGAGCCGACCUUGAAAUACCACCCUUUAAUGUUUGAUGUUCUAACGUUGACCCGUGAUCCGGGUUGCGGACAGUGUCUGGUGGGUAGUUUGACUGGGGCGGUCUCCUCCUAAAGAGUAACGGAGGAGCACGAAGGUUGGCUAAUCCUGGUCGGACAUCAGGAGGUUAGUGCAAUGGCAUAAGCCAGCUUGACUGCGAGCGUGACGGCGCGAGCAGGUGCGAAAGCAGGUCAUAGUGAUCCGGUGGUUCUGAAUGGAAGGGCCAUCGCUCAACGGAUAAAAGGUACUCCGGGGAUAACAGGCUGAUACCGCCCAAGAGUUCAUAUCGACGGCGGUGUUUGGCACCUCGAUGUCGGCUCAUCACAUCCUGGGGCUGAAGUAGGUCCCAAGGGUAUGGCUGUUCGCCAUUUAAAGUGGUACGCGAGCUGGGUUUAGAACGUCGUGAGACAGUUCGGUCCCUAUCUGCCGUGGGCGCUGGAGAACUGAGGGGGGCUGCUCCUAGUACGAGAGGACCGGAGUGGACGCAUCACUGGUGUUCGGGUUGUCAUGCCAAUGGCACUGCCCGGUAGCUAAAUGCGGAAGAGAUAAGUGCUGAAAGCAUCUAAGCACGAAACUUGCCCCGAGAUGAGUUCUCCCUGACUCCUUGAGAGUCCUGAAGGAACGUUGAAGACGACGACGUUGAUAGGCCGGGUGUGUAAGCGCAGCGAUGCGUUGAGCUAACCGGUACUAAUGAACCGUGAGGCUUAACCUU
rnacentral:rRNA from 1 species